rnacentral:tRNA from 1 species
GGUAGAAUGCUUGAGUGGUUUAAAAGGCUGUCCUGCUAAGACAGUGUGCAGUAAUGUACCGAAGGUUCGAAUCCUUCUUCUACCG